UUAUCAGCUAUAAAUAAUGCAUUUUUUUCUGUAUGUUUAGAAUGCACGUGAUUUCUGUAUAUUAAAAAUGUACACGGUUGAAGGCACCAAAGCGAGCGCUGGCAAAUCAGGGGGGGUACCCGAUUUGGGUUUGACCAUGAGACGUUAAUUCAGCCUCCUCCUGGCCCUGCCCUUACGAGGCUGUAAUGACACGGUCACAGCCUAUUUUUAGCUCCCUCCUUCUUUCCCUGACCAGGGUGGCUGCACAGCGAGGUGGAAUUAAGGUUGCAGGGACAGCCAUAAAUUGGACACUUCCUAACUUUGAAGUGCUUGACCACGCAAUCUAAACGAGGGCUCUUCAGGGCAGCAUUUCUGCAUGUGGCAUUAACUGCCUUGGUCGGGGACGGCAAAUGCAGGGGUAGAGAAGCCGUAGAGCAGAAAAGACCUAUCAGACUAUUGAAAGCGCUCGUUUGAAUAGAUGGGGGAGUCAACAGAGUCUACACUUGAUCUGAGCUAAAUGGCCAAGAAGAUGUCUCCAAGCUGAGAGGGGGAAGCCUUUGUUCCUCCAGCCCCAGCCGUGAUGUUUUCUUUGCCUUUGGUUUUGCCUCCUCCGCUCCUAGGGAGGUUUGGGCUCUUGCUCUUGAGGAACCUUCAGCUUGUGUAGUGAAUUUGUGUGCUUGUGAAAGCGGGGGUGUCCCGAGGAGUGUGCACGUGCACGCACGCUCCCCUCACUGCACCAGCAGAUGUGUGCUACCAGCUUGCAGAUACUCACUGCUUGGUGUCCUUGCCUUGAACAUUCCCUCUUUGCCAGGUCCCUAACGGGAGCCGUUGCACGUGUUGGAGGGAAUGGAGAGGCCUUUGUGUAUCACACAGGAGAUCUAAUACCUUUUUUUAACUGCUGGAAGAAUUACUUCAGAGGUGGUUACAUGCAAUGCAGAUUUAUCUUUGCUUGAAAUGGUGCUUUUUUUCCUUUUUUCUUUGUUUACGGGGGGGUUUCUCCGUUUUGGCUUGCAAUAAGACAUUUGGCUGUCUAUGGUUUCUAGCAGAGUGCAGUCUGGUUGAGCAAAUUUGGGGGAGCAAGCAGUCUUUUGUUUUACUUUCCUGGGUGUAAUGUAGUCACAGCCCCUUGCACGUACCUUGUGCUGAUACCAGAGCAUUUUCCCCUGGCCAGCAGUGUGUCUACUCUGGAUUAUAAUAUAUGAUGUUGUGGUUUUGCCUUGUGGACUCCUGGAUCCCGAAACCUCCUUGGGGCUGUUUCCACGUCAGCACAGGUACCCAAGUGUCCUAGGUUUGGGUUUUCAUCGUGUUGGUAUGGGCUUGUGUUUCACGAGCAUCUUUCUCAUAACUUUCCCCCUCUCUCCUGCAUCUCAGUUCAGCAAAGGGCCUGUCUAUCUGGGUGCAGGCAAUAAACGUCUGUUCUCACCCUGACUUCUGUUAAUGAGAUAGAGACAGGUAAGCAUCACACAUACCAACUUUCCUGCUCUCAGCAACAUCAAGGAAACGGUGACAAGCUAUUAAUGGAAAGUGAUGGUCUGGGUGCUAAUUAGUGCUUCCUUUUCAACUUUUACCUACAUGUCUGCUGAGAUGCCCAUCCCAGCCUCUCCUCUCUCCUUGCAUCCCUUUGUUUCCAGCGCGUUCCUUGUUCUCUCUGCACAUCCCAUGUCGAAGAAGCUUCUCCAUUUUUUUCCUCUCUACCAAUCGCUUUCUGCAUCUCCUCAUUCCCUUUUUGUGCCCUUUUCCCCCGGGUAAUUGCCACCUGCACCCUCAUUCUCCUGUGGUUGCUCCCAGCCAAGAAUAAGCAGGAUAUUGUAGUGGGAUCUGAAAGCUCGGGGAUGGGGCACAUGAAGUCAGUCAGGAGUUCCUCGUCUUCAUCACUGGGUAGUAAUAUUCGCUUGUGACACCAGUGCACGGGGUCAAAUUUCCCUGGGGACAUGAGGUCAGAGAUCUGUCCCCUCUUCCCGCAGGUAAUGCUGUAGGGAGGCUCCCAGAAGCUCACAGGUCUUGGUCAUGGAACAAUUAGUAUUUAAAGCAGAUCCACUGAUAGUAGGAUGGGCCUCUGUGGUGUGAGCCUGGAGGAGAUAACAGGUCCUGCCCCACAGAGCUUGUGGUUUAAACCCUAAAUGCUUUUGCUCUCCAUGAAACCCCGCUAAUGGCUGUUUUUUCGGGUCCACCCCAAUUUAUGCUGCUGCAGCAACACGAUCCCUGGUCUCAGCUCAGUGCCUGGACUCUCCUGCUUCUCUUUCUCCUGGCCCCUGGGCUCUGCCCCUUCCCCAAGGACCCUAAUUGUCCCCUCCUCACUUUUUUUUUUGCACGGGUUGUGGGUUUCUUGCUGCCAGGCUUGUAUCCCAAGGAGCUGCCUAAUCUGCCCCUGUCAUUCCCAGUCACAGGCUCCGUGCACACCGUAGCUUUAUGGGGAAUGCUUGCAGGGCAGUGGGAAGAGGCAGCCAUGGUUUGCACAUUAGCUAAUUAAUUUUCAUGACUGAACGAUGCUGCCUGGUCUCUUGUUUAUACUCCUCGCCGCUCCCCUUCUCCCCCCUCCUCGCUGACACACACACAAGACGACACAUCUCGCACGAACGUCAGCAUCCUUCCACAGCCUUGAGACGCGAGCGGUUAUUCUGUUGGCUUGUCAAACGCGGGUUUCCCUGCUUCAUGGUACACAGGGGCCCCCUGUUUCACAUUUGCUGAUUCUUAUUAGACCCAGCGCGCCAGGGCCCUGUCUCUCCCCGCAAAGCAACGCGCCGCAUCCCAUCCAUAAAUCCAACCCUGGAACAAAGCCUCCUCUACCCUGCCCCAUAUUUCUACCCAGCCUGCCCGCUUUCCCCUCUCCCUCUCUCUCCCCCUCUCCCGUGCUGAAGGUUUCCUAGUGCCAGGGAGAUAUGAUAAUUCUUGUGAAGAGAGCAUGAAAUGCCUCUGCUCUUUGUGUCUGUUUAAUUCAAUGAGAAUCCCAGCCCCAGAUGUCAUGAAUGGUGGGCUUUGUGCUGGCCCUUCCUAAGCCCUAACCGCCAGCCCUGCUCUCUGUCUUUCUUGUUUCCCACCACUGGAUACUGAUUAACAAACUAAAUUAUUUUUCCUCCCUAAUGAUGUUUUCCCACUUUGCCCACCAGGCUGGAAGAAGCCACGGGGAGGAAAGAGUUUGUGCAAAGGAUGAGAUAGCCAGGGAGAAAAUUAAAGAGACAGUGUUGCUCUCUGGGCUCUGGCAAUGUAGGUCCGCUCGGCUUUAUUUCCUUAUUAGAGAACGGGGUCGCGUCUGGCUGUAUUUUACGGGGCUGGGUGUAUUUCAGCCGAGGGGACGGGCUUGAAAGCAUCCGCACAAGGUAGGCUCUGAAGCAUGCCAAGGUCCGUAACUCACUCGCAAUUGUGUGUGCGAGUUUGCACGGUCCCCAAAUUUAAGGUCUCUUUUUCCAGCCGUGACUGACAUUCAGUAAUUACUUGACAUCCGUCCAUGCAUACGGGAGCCUCUUUCUAAUUGAGACAAAUUCUCUUUUCCUUAAUCAGACAUGACUGCAAGUUCGCGCAAGUGGGAUGCCGUGGGAAGGGCUGGGACGACUCCACCUGAGCAAGGAGAGAUCCCAGCGAGCGGAGAAGGGACUCCUCAAGCCUCUGAGUUCCUUCUUGCAGUUGGCUACCACCUGCCCCAACUUGUCAUCUGAUGUCUCCAGGUUUCUCCAGGAGGGUCCCAUCCUGCUUCGCCGGUGGCCCCGCAGAGGAGGCGGCUUUGGCUCAUGAACACAGAGGGUUUCUGCAUCGCUUCGAGUCACCUCGGUCCAUCCAUGGGGAGGGAGCCGGGGCAGCCCAGGGAGCCAGGGGAUCACCCCACAUCACUCCUGUACGUUGUCUCCAGUGCCCUAAAUACCCCAGAGCAGGACCAUGGGGCUUGGGGAAGGGGAUCUGAGCGAGCCACUGUUCUCACCUGGCAAAACACCGGGUGCGUGACGGUGGGAGGGAGCUUUUAGGACCAGGCUUUGCUCAUGGAGCAGAGCUUGGCCCUGGGUGUGUGGAGCUGCAGGAGCGUGGCCGUCCCGACGGCGCCGUGCUCACAUCCCAGCCCCUGAGUCUGUCCGGACCAGGCGGCCCUGAUGCUGUUUGAUCCCCCCCUCGCCAUUCCUGUAAGAGAAACGUACCGCCUGUAAUUCUCUCUCAUUAAAAUUCCCCUUUGCCCCCGUGUGCUGUUGAAAAUAAACUCUCCCUUUUUUUGCAAAAG